rnacentral:rRNA from 1 species
GACGAACGCUGGCGGCGUGCCUAAUACAUGCAAGUAGAACGCAGUUGCGAACGGGUGAGUAACGCGUAGGUAACUGCCUGGUAGCGGGGGAUAACUAUUGGAAACGAUAGCUAAUACCGCAUACUACCAGAUGGACCUGCGUUGUAUUAGCUAGUUGGUGAGGUAACGGCUCACCAAGGCAACGAUACAUAGCCGACCUGGGGAGGUGAGCGGGCCCACUGGGAAUGGGAAACGGCCCAGACUCCCACGGGGUGCAGCAGGAGGGAAUCUUCGGCAAUGGGGGGAAACCUGACCGAGCAACUCCGCGGGAGAGGAGAAGGUUUUCGGAGCGUAAAGCUCUGUUGUUAAGGAAGCGGUACUUAACCAGAAAGGGACGGCUAACUACGUGCCAGCCGCCGCGGUAAUAC